GAUGAACGCUGGCGGCGUGCCUAAUACAUGCAAGUCGAGCGAACAGACGAGGAGCUUGCUCCUCUGACGUUACCGGCGGACGGGUGAGUAACACGUGGAUAACCUACCUAUAAGACUGGGAUAACUUCGGGAAACCGGAGCUAAUACCGGAUAAUAUAUUGAACCGCAUGGUUCAAUAGUGAAAGACGGUUUUGCUGUCACUUAUAGAUAGAUCCGCGCCGCAUUAGCUAGUUGGUAAGGUAACGGCUUACCAAGGCAACGAUGCGUAGCCGACCUGAGAGGGUGAUCGGCCACACUGGAACUGAGACACGGUCCAGACUCCUACGGGAGGCAGCAGUAGGGAAUCUUCCGCAAUGGGCGAAAGCCUGACGGAGCAACGCCGCGUGAGUGAUGAAGGUCUUCGGAUCGUAAAACUCUGUUAUUAGGGAAGAACAAAUGUGUAAGUAACUAUGCACGUCUUGACGGUACCUAAUCAGAAAGCCACGGCUAACUACGUG
rnacentral:rRNA from 1 species